rnacentral:rRNA from 1 species
GAACGAACGCUGGCGGCAUGCCUAACACAUGCAAGUCGAACGAGACCUUCGGGUCUAGUGGCGCACGGGUGCGUAACGCGUGGGAACCUGCCCUUAGGUUCGGAAUAACUCCCCGAAAGGGGUGCUAAUACCGGAUAAUGUCUUCGGACCAAAGAUUUAUCGCCUUUGGAUGGGCCCGCGUUGGAUUAGCUAGUUGGUAGGGUAAAAGCCUACCAAGGCGACGAUCCAUAGCUGGUCUGAGAGGAUGAUCAGCCACACUGGGACUGAGACACGGCCCGGACCCGUCCGGGGGGGAGGGGGGGGGAUUAGGAAACAGGGGGCAAAGGCCGGACCAAGCAGUGCCGCGUGAGUGGAGAAGCCCUGGGGGUUGAAAAGUUUUUUUACCGGGAGUGAUAAUGACAGUCCGGGGAAAAAAGGCUCCGCCAAACCCCGUG